ensembl:lncRNA
AAAAGGAACUGCCCUAGGUGGACCCAUGAAGCUGAGUUCUGGGGCUGCUUGGCUAGGAGGAGUCCCCUGUGCCCCAUUGACAUGGUGGCAGUGAAACCUCUCACUUUAAGGGACCCUGCAAAAUCAGCCAAUGAGGAUCAUUGCGGCAAUCACAGUGGACAGAAAAGUAGAUGAGUUUUGUUGAUUUUUCAGGUACCUGUAAGCUCCCCAGAUUUCCAUGUAAGUCUAGAGAAGGAAAUAAAUAACAGAAUUGGGAUAAAGAAAAAGAAAUGUGAGAUUCGUUACACAUUUGAGUUGGUGAAUAAGGCGUCACAUAUAAUAUAUAUAUUUGAAAUAUUGUUCUACUGAUUCACUAUGGCCUGACAUGUUAUAAGCUAAUAUGAAAUUAAGUUGUUUUCAAGGUUUGUUGGGGUCCUGAAACAGAGUUGAUCUUUUUCAUUGCACAGACUAUGGAAACUAUGAAAGAAUAUGAAAAUUUCAAUAUGUUGACCCCAAGACAUUCAGAACUCCAGGCAGACAUUAUAGUGAUGAGGAAGUAGAAAUGAAAGAAACUGACACAGCACAAUUGAAAGAGAAGUAAGAGCAAGAUGAAUCUAGACGAUACAGAACAGUAUGGGCCACUGCUGCCCUCUGCAUGUGUUGGACCAGUGACCCCACUGUUGUCAAAAAACAAGCUCUGUGUGCUGAAUAAAAUGAAGCAGGAAGAUGAAUUUACUGUAAGGGUUUCAACCUGAAGCUGGGAAACACAGGCUUAUGUGACCAGUGAGUUCUGAGUUGCCCAGACUAAGGGAUUUUUGUGGGGUAAGUGCAGUAGCUGUUUGGCUUUUUCAGCUGACUGGUUGCCUAGUGGCCUUCUUCCUUAUUUGGAUCAGGGGAACAAGGAGGUCAAGAGAUAGUGAGAAGAGGCGUGGCAUUUGGGGGUUGGCUGGAGUUCUCUGCUGAUCUCUGAGAAGAGAUGUAGAGGCCAGGAGUGGAUGGACCUGGAGUUCUGUGUGCUUGAGCUUGGUCUGGAUGGCCCACUGCUGCUCUUGGACUACCAAGGAUGCACCAAGGAAGAUCAUAAACAGGCAUCCAGGAUUUUCCUGGCAAGAAUACUGGAGUGGGUUGCCAUGCCGUCCUCCAGGGGAUCUUCCCAGUCCAGGGAUGGAACCCAUGACUCCUGUGCAGGCAGAUUCUUUACCACUGAUCCACUGGGUAAGCCCAUGAAUGGGUGUUAUGUUGUGUCAGAUGCUUAUUCUUCAUCUAUUGAAACUGUUAUAUGGAUUUUUGUUUUUACUUUGAACAUGGUGAAUUAUGUGUAUUGAUUUUCAAGAGUUAAAACAACCUUACAUACCUCAGAUAAACCUACUUGCUAGUAGUGUGUUACUCUUGUUAUGUAGUUCUGAAAAUAAUUUGACUUAAAAAAGAAGAGAUAUUAUUUGUGUUUUUCUUUUUUUAUCAUCUUUAUCAGGUUUGCUAUUAAGAUUAUGUUAGUCUCAUAAAAUAAGAAGUGUUUUUGCCUUUUUAAUUUAUGAUAAAGUUAGUAUGAGAUUUGUGUUAUAUUUUCCCUAAAUGUGUG